AUGCAGCAUCCUCCCCCCCCACACACACACAUGCACAUAGGCGUGCAUGCAGCAUCCUCCUCCACACACACACAUGCACAUAGGCGUGCAUGCAGCAUCCUCCUCCACACACACACAUGCACAUAGGCGUGCAUGCAGCAUCCUCCUCCACACACACACAUGCACAUAGGCGUGCAUGCAGCAUCCUCCCCCCACCACACACACACACACACACACAUGCACAUAGGCAUGUAUGCAGCAUACUCCCCACACACACACAUAGGCAUGCAUGCAGCAUCCUCCCCCACCCCCCCCACACACACACAUAGGCGUGCAUGCAGCAUCCUCCCCCCCAACACACACAUGCACAUAGGCAUACAGGCACCUCUCUCCCUGAACAACAAUAAUCUAUUCUAUUUUACUUGAUAUUUGUACAUUGAACUCAGGAUGAAGCGAUAGGGCAGUGGCAGGGACCAUGAUGAGGGGGCCUUUAAGAGACCUGUGCUGGUCAGAGAGAGAAUGGUUACAAGGUAAGAACAAGGAAGGCCAGCAUCCAGGCAGCCUUAAAGAACGAAUCACUGUGUGAUGACCAUGCUCCCAGGCUGGACCACUCACUUGUCCAGUCCGGCUGGAGACAGUUCCGUCAAGAGUGAAGCUGCCUGCCCAGUGACCAAGGUUGCCGCCCCUCUCCAGGUUUUUCUAACAUUUAGCAAUGCUUCUAAUUCCUUGACCCUGGUGAAAUCCAUCGACUAAGACAGCAUUUACCAAGGGCAUUGCGCACACGAUUGCGCACACGAUGCUAAUACUGAGAUGUGGGGCCCGGACUCUUUCUGGUUUUUUCUGUGGGUUUUGGGUUCGAACUUAGGUGUUCCUGCUUGCGAGACAAGGGCUUUACUGACUGC
rnacentral:lncRNA from 1 species